ACUCCUACGGGAGGCAGCAGUGGGGAAUCUUGGACAAUGGGGGCAACCCUGAUCCAGCCAUGCCGCGUGAGUGAUGAAGGCCUUAGGGUCGUAAAGCUCUUUCGCCUGUGAUGAUAAUGACAGUAGCAGGUAAAGAAACCCCGGCUAACUCCGUGCCAGCAGCCGCGGUAAUACGGAGGGGUUAGCGUUGUUCGGAAUUACUGGGGCGUAAAGCGCGCGUAGGCGGAUUAGUCAGUUAGAGGUGAAAUCCCAGGGCUCAACCCUGGAACUGCCUUUAAUACUGCUAGUCUUGAGUUCGAGAGAGGUGAGUGGAAUUCCGAGUGUAGAGGUGAAAUUCGUAGAUAUUCGGAGGAACACCAGUGGCGAAGGCGGCUCACUGGCUCGAUACUGACGCUGAGGUGCGAAAGUGUGGGGAGCAAACAGGAUUAGAUACCCUGGUAGGACAGUG
rnacentral:rRNA from 1 species